UACAGAGGUCCCAAGCGUUGUUCGGAUUCACUGGGCGUAAAGGGCGCGUAGGCGGCAAUUCAAGUCAUCUGUGAAAUCUCCGGGCUUAACUCGGAAUGGUCAGGUGAUACUGCUUUGCUAGAGUGCAGAAGGGGCAAUCGGAAUUCUUGGUGUAGCGGUGAAAUGCGUAGAUAUCAAGAGGAACACCUGAGGUGAAGACGGGUUGCUGGGCUGACACUGACGCUGAGGCGCGAAAGCUAGGGGAGCAAACGGG
rnacentral:rRNA from 1 species